AUUGAACGCUGGCGGCAGGCCUAACACAUGCAAGUCGAGCGGAUGAAGGGUGCUUGCUCCUGUAUUCAGCGGCGGACGGUUGAGUAAUUCCUAUGUAUCUGCCUGGUAUUUGUGUAUAACGUCCUUAAACGGGCGCUAAUACCGCAUACGUCCUUAGGGUGAAAUUUGUUGUUCUUCGUACCUCACUCUAUCAUUUGAUCCUAUGUCGGAUUAGCUAGUUGGUUUGGUAAAGGCCUACCAAGGCGACGAUCCGUAACUGGUCUGAGAGGAUGAUAAGUCAAACUGGAAGUGAGAAACGGUAAAGAGAACUACGGGAGGAAGAAGUGGGGAAUAUGGGAAAAUGGGCGAAAGCAUGAUAGAGAAAAGGCGAGUGAGUGAAGAAGGUCUUAGGAUUGUAAAGAAAUUUAAGUAGGGAGGAAGGGAAGUAAGUUAAAACAUUGAUGUAUUGACGUUAACAAAAGAAUAAGCACCGGCUAACUACGUG
rnacentral:rRNA from 1 species